rnacentral:tRNA from 1 species
GCGGACAUAGCUCAGUUGGGAGAGCGUCAGACUGAAGUCAACUUCAAUCAUCCAAUCUGAAGGUCGUGUGUUCAAUCCACACUGGCCGCA